GACGAACGCUGGCGGCGUGCUUAACACAUGCAAGUCGAACGGAAAGGCCUCUUUCGGGGGGUACUCGAGUGGCGAACGGGUGAGUAACACGUGAGUAACCUGCCCUUGACUUUGGGAUAACUUCAGGAAACUGGGGCUAAUACCGGAUAGGAGCUCCUGCUGCAUGGUGGGGGUUGGAAAGUUUCGGCGGUUGGGGAUGGACUCGCGGCUUAUCAGCUUGUUGGUGGGGUAGUGGCUUACCAAGGCUUUGACGGGUAGCCGGCCUGAGAGGGUGACCGGCCACAUUGGGACUGAGAUACGGCCCAGACUCCUACGGGAGGCAGCAGUGGGGAAUAUAGCACAAUGGGUGGAAGCCUGAUGCAGCAACGCCGUGUGCGGGAUGACGGCCUUCGGGUUGUAAACCGCUUUCGCUCAUGACGAAGCUUUGUGUGACGGUAGUGGGUAAAGAAGCACCGGCUAACUACGUG
rnacentral:rRNA from 1 species